UACGGGGGGGGCAAGCGUUGUUCGGAAUUACUGGGCGUAAAGGGCUCGUAGGCGGCCAACUAAGUCGGACGUGAAAUCCCCAGGCUCAACCUGGGAACUGCGUCCGAUACUGGAUGGCUUGAAUCCGGGAGAGGGAUGCAGAAUUCCAGGUGUAGCGGUGAAAUGCGUAGAUAUCUGGAGGAACACCGGUGGCGAAGGCGGCAUCCUGGACCGAUAUUGACGCUGAUGCGCGAAAGCCAGGGGAGCAAACGGG
rnacentral:rRNA from 1 species